AUGUCCUGAUGUACAAUAGUCCAGAGAAUAGUGCACUUUAGAUAAUAAAUAGGUGGAUCUCACCAAGUUGGAUAUCCAGAUGGAUUGUAGCCUUAGUAGCAACUGGAAAAAAUGAAGACUCUGUGAAGAAUGGAGAAGUGUCUAUUGGAGGGUUUUUAAACCUGCUGAAUUCCUGUUGUGCGCUGAAAAGAGGACUCAAUAAAGGUGUCAGAUGUGGUCUUCGAAGGGACGUGGAUGUCCCGAGCGCGCAGCCCAUGUACUGUGACGGCACUCUCAUUGCGGAUAACUCCGAUCUGAUACACAGCAGCAACGACUUUGAGGGUGACAUACGAGGACCA